GAUUUCUGGCUUGGUUCGCCUGGCCCGCCACGGUUACGUGUGUGAGUGCCGGUGUGGAUCUGCCAUCACUUCUAGGUCACAUUCAUACUCUUCAUUGAGCCGUGAAUGCGUAUCUAGAUCUUUUACUUUGAAAAAAUUAGAGUGUUUCAAGCAGGCUUUUGCUAUGAAUACAUUAGCAUGGAAUAAUAAUUUAGGACUUUGGUCUUAUUUUGUUGGUUUCUAGGACUAAAGUAAUGAUUGAUAGGGACAGUUGGGGGUGCUAGUAUUCAGCGGCCAGAGGUGAAAUUCUUGGAUUCGCUGAAGACUAACUUAUGCGAAAGCAUU
rnacentral:rRNA from 2 species